rnacentral:rRNA from 1 species
AGAGUUUGAUCCUGGCUCAGGAUGAACGCUGGCGGCGUGCUUAACACAUGCAAGUCGAACGAUUAAAGCCCCUUCGGGGGUGUAUAGAGUGGCGAACGGGUGAGUAACACGUGGGCAACCUGCCCCUCACUUCGGGAUAACCCAGGGAAACUUGGGCUAAUACCGGAUACUCCGAGAGGACCGCAUGAUUUUCUCGGGAAAGUUCCGGCGGUGAGGGAUGGGCCCGCGGCCCAUUAGCUUGUUGGUAGGGUAAUGGCCUACCAAGGCAACGAUGGGUAGCCGAGCUGAGAGGCUGAUCGGCCACACUGGGACUGAGACACGGUCCAGACUCCUACGGGAGGCAGCAGUGGGGAAUAUUGCACAAUGGGCGCAAGCCUGAUGCAGCAACGCCGCGUGAGUGAUGAAGGCCUUCGGGUCGUAAAACUCUGUCCUAUGGGAAGAAAAAAAUGACGGUACCAUAGGAGGAAGCCCCGGCUAACUACGUGCCAGCAGCCGCGGUAAUACGUAGGGGGCAAGCGUUAUCCGGAAUCACUGGGCGUAAAGGGUGCGUAGGUGGCUCAUCAAGCCAGAGGUGAAAGGCAUUGGCUCAACCAAUGUAAGCCUUUGGAACUGACGAGCUUGAGUGCAGGAGAGGUAAGUGGAAUUCCUAGUGUAGAGGUGAAAUUCGUAGAUAUUAGGAGGAACACCAGUGGCGAAGGCGACUUACUGGACUGUAACUGACACUGAGGCACGAAAGCGUGGGGAGCGAACAGGAUUAGAUACCCUGGUAGUCC